UGAAGGGAGGAGCUCUAAGAACCAACUCCUCAGAGAAAUAAUUAGGACUCAUGAUAUCUUUGAAAUUUCUGGAAGUUGUCCUAAGGUUAUAUAGCAAAUGAGGAAAACUUUAUUAAAGAAAAUCUAUUAGAUCUCGAUAAGAACAGCAAGAGUCUAUGGCACAACCCCCUUCUCCCCUUCCCAUGUUGGCUUUAUGACAGAAGCUCUAAUCUGGGAAGGUAUCACCAAGAAAAUUGAGUUCUUUUUCCUCUCAACUCCCAGUAAAGGGAAAUGGAGGGGCAGGCCACCUGCACUUCUCAUCUCUCAGCUCAGUCUGUAGGUUCUUCGGGAUCUCGCAAAGCACCACCAGGAUAGAUAUCUCAAGCACGUCUGAAGAGCUCACGUUUCCUAAGUAAGACAGCAGCAGCAAGACGGCAAUCAUUUCUGUGGAGACAGUAUCAUCAUAAUGCAAUAUUAGCUACUGUGAUCUUCUAUCAUUUCCUUCCUGGAGAGUUAUGACUGUGGCAUUGAGGAUUUAAGACCUACAGCCCGAACACUACUUACUACAAAUCUCUCACAAAGCUGCUGCAAUAAAUCUCGUGGAGGAAAGUCAUUGCAUAAAAAAUCCCCAACUCCAGGGAGCUGGCCAUUUAUUUUCCUAGGAAAGAAGGGCUGUGAUGAGAGACACUCCAUGCUCCUUUAACUCCAUGGAACAGAACCCAACAAAGCAUUCAUCAUAGAAAGAAGAAGCUACCAGAAGACCCAUUAACUCAACUAUACCCUCUAGGAAGAAAAGGGCAUCUCUAGAACUGAGCACCCAUACUGCCCUCUGGUGUAGAGCUCCCAUAAAACAGGCAUGGACAUGCUUCCAUUCUUCCUGCACUGCCACCUGCCCUGGGAAGCUGACCUGUUUGGACCUCAUCAGAGGGUGCGGCUCUGACAGGAACCCAGUGAGAUGUCAAGCUGAGACAGCUGUUGCCAAACCUGGUGGAGGCAUUUCAGACAGCCGGGGACACAGCUGUUGCCUCAAACUUCAUGUGCAACAUCCUUCUCUUCUUUAAGGAGGGCGUUAUUGAGAGGACUAAAUAGGAUGAUAUAUGGAAACCAUCUAUGCAAAAAAAACACCUGCCAUUGUAAAGAAGUACAGUUAAUUCUGAUGGAGAGACCAUGUAGAGGGAGACCGUGGAAGAUGAGAGGCCAUGUGUUGAGGAACUGAGGUGUCCCAGCCAGUAGUUAACAUCCACUACCAGAUUCGAUGCUUUGGAGGAAGAAAGAGGAAGGAAGAAACUACAAAUUAUCUGCUUUAUUGGUGCUUUUUUCUCAGAUGCACUAGCUGGUCUGCACGCAAGAGCCUUUUAUCCUUCCUUCCACACAAUCCUUUUAACUGAAACCAAGUGGCCAAAGCUUAACUGUAAUUCUGCAGAACUGGCGGCAAGAGGCCUGGCUAUGGCUUGGGCCGCUCACCCCAAACGUGAUGUGCACAGAGAGUGGGGCUGACAUUGUUUAGCUCUCUGCUCAGCAGUGCCCAGCCAAGCCUCCCGGUCUAAAUUGAGCCCUUAAUCGUUUUCCUGGCAUUUGCUCAGACAGGAUUUUAUUUUCUAGUAAUAAAAGCUCCUACAUUGUAGGGGGAAAAAAAAAAAAAAAAACAAUCUGCCUUUUUUCCCUAGCUUUUGUGAAUGCUUCACCACCUGUCCUUUUUUCCCCCUUGUUUUUUGUGCUUGGGGCAGAGCCAGGUUGUUUUGUGCUUGCUGUCAAGUUUUGGGGAGCUCUUCAUGGACAGAGAAAUGUACUCACAUUGACUGUGCCUCUGCUUAUUACUGGCAGCUUCCCAUCUCAUGGACUGAGAGGUUUAAUCCUACAGGCUUGACUUUUGGGUCUGUGGGUGGCACAGGGAAGAGGGGCCCAGGAAAGGAGAAAUGAAAUGAGUCACCAAGGGCUUCCCACCUAAGAAACUCUUGAUGGCUCACCUCUUUCCUUCAAGAGUUUUCAGUGGCUUCCCAGUGCCUGCAGAAUCUAGUGCAUACUUUCUAAGAUGGUAUUCAGACCCACCUGCUUCCUCAGCCUCCUUUUUUUUCUUGGUGAAAAGGAAAAGAAAAAAAUAUAGAUACCUAAAAAAAAGUAAAAAUGAA